ACUCAAAUGAAUUGACGGGGACCCGCACAAGCGGUGGAGCAUGUGCAUUAAUACGUCACUAACCGUAGAACCUUACCAGGGUUUGACAUAGUCGGACCGCCUAUGAAAGUAGGUUUUCCUCGCAAGAGGACCGGCAUACAGGUGUUGCAUGGCUGUCGUCAGCUCGUGUCGUGAGAUGUUGGGUUAAGUCCCGCAACGAGCGCAACCCUCACUCGAUGUUGCCAGCGUAAAGUCGGGAACUCUUCGAGAACUGCCCGUGUAAGCGGGAGGAAGGUGGGGAUGACGUCAAGUCAGCAUGGCCCUUACAUCCUGGGCUUGACACAUGCUACAAUGGCCGUUAAACAAAGGGAAGCAAUACCGCGAGGUGGAGCCAAUCUCAAAAAUACGGUCUCAGUUCGGAUUGCAGGCUGCAACUCGCCUGCAUGAAGUCGGAAUCGCUAGUAACCGCCGGUCAGCUAAACGGCGGUGAAUACGUUCCCGGGUCUUGCACACACCGCCCGU
rnacentral:rRNA from 1 species